UACAGAGGUCUCAAGCGUUGUUCGGAAUCACUGGGCGUAAAGGGCGUGUAGGCGGUCAGGUAAGUGAGAUGUGAAAUGCCCCGGCUCACCCGGGGACCGGCAUCUCAUACUGCUUGGCUUGAGUACGGGAGAGGAUGUGGGAAUUCCUGGUGUAGCGGUGAAAUGCGUAGAUAUCAGGAGGAACACCGGUGGCGAAGGCGCACAUCUGGCCCGAUACUGACGCUGAGGCGCGAAAGCUAGGGGAGCAAACGGG
rnacentral:rRNA from 1 species